rnacentral:lncRNA from 1 species
UUAAUAUAUAUAAAUAAUAAAAGAAAAGUACAUAAGUAAGGAGUUUAACAAACAUAUGUAUUUAACUAGUGUUGAUAUAUUAUAUUUAUACAUUUAAAAAAUGUAGUCGUGCAUAUCUUUAAAAACCAACAAAACAUGAAUUUUGGUUUUUCAUUGAAAACUUGGUUAAACAUCUAAAAUCUAGUUUCCCUAUUUUAUAGGAAAACUCUUUUGUUCAAAUCUUGAUUGGCAACAAAGUCAGUUUUAGUUUUUCUAAAUUGUAAGGAAUCACUUUGGGAAAAUUUCAUGUUUACCACUUUCAUGGUACCACUUUUUAUCUUUACCACAACUAAAAGGACAUUUUCAAAAAUACAUUUUUCAUUAAGUGGCAAAAGACUCUUAUAUCAUUGUUUUCAAUAUAUAUAAUAAAUCAUUAUUUAAAUAAAAAAAAAUUAGUUUUCAACUUAUACUUUUUCAAAUUCGAAUUUUUUUUAUAACUUUGUUUUUGAUUUUUUUUUUUGAUUUUCUUCAAAAUUUCUUUUUGAAAAUCAAAAAAUUAUCUUUGAAACUAUUUUAAAAUAUUUUUUUAUAUUUUUA